UACGAAGGGGGCUAGCGUUGCUCGGAAUCACUGGGCGUAAAGUGCACGUAGGCGGAUUGCUAAGUCAGGGGUGAAAUCCUGGAGCUCAACUCCAGAACUGCCUUUGAUACUGGCGAUCUUGAGUCCGGGAGAGGUGAGUGGAACUGCGAGUGUAGAGGUGAAAUUCGUAGAUAUUCGCAAGAACACCAGUGGCGAAGGCGGCUCACUGGCCCGGUACUGACGCUGAGGUGCGAAAGCGUGGGGAGCAAACAGG
rnacentral:rRNA from 1 species